UAUACAGCGAAACUGCGAAUGGCUCAUUAUAUAAGUUAUCGUUUAUUUGAUAGUGCCUUACUACUUGGAUAACCGUGGUAAUUCUAGAGCUAAUACAUGCUAAAAACCCCGACUUCGGAAGGGGUGUAUUUAUUAGAUACAAAACCAAUGCCCUUCGGGGCUCUUUGGUGAUUCAUGAUAACUAUACGAAUCGCACGGCCUUGCGCCGGCGAUGGUUCAUUCAAAUUUCUUCCCUAUCAACUUCCGAUGUUUGGGUAUUGGCCAAACAUGGUUGCAACGGGUAACGGAGGGUUAGGGCUCGACCCCGGAGAAGGAGCCUGAGAAACGGCUACUACAUCCAAGGAAGGCAGCAGGCGCGCAAAUUACCCAAUCCCGACUCGGGGAGGUAGUGACAAUAAAUACUGAUACAGGGCCCUUUCGGGCCUUGUAAUUGGAAUGAGUACAAUUUAAAUCCCUUAACGAGGAACAAUUGGAGGGCAAGUCUGGUGCCAGCAGCCGCGGUAAUUCCAGCUCCAAUAGCGUAUAU
rnacentral:rRNA from 1 species